UUAUGCAAUCAUCGUCUGGAAUUACUGCAGCCAGUUUAGCCACGAUUUAUGGUUAUUGAAAUCUAUUGACCUGACGCCGGCGACAAUGUAAUAUUAUAAUAGCGCAGCUACCAUCCUGUUGGAAUUAUUUUCGUUACGUUUUCGCUGUAAGCUCAUAUAUUCGGCAAAAUAAUCGAGUAAAGUUCGUAUAUUAGUCGUUUCCUAAACGUCGAGUGAGCUCAUUAUCCCAUCGGGAAAAUAAUUAAGUGCAGUCGAUAAAUUGUUUCCAAUUAGGAUGCGUUGCAGACAUUUAACCGUAGAACGUAGUUGUUCGGCCCGAAACUCCAGACUCGACCGGACUUUAAUAUUUUUCAGAACUCGCCGCGUCACCAUUAACUAGUAUCAUUAAUUUAAGUAUUAGGUAAUAUUUCAACGGUGAUGAAAUUAAUAUUUUAGCUCGCCGAAAUGAUGUCAAAAUAUCACUUAAGAAGACGGUAUUUAUAUAA